ACGAACGCUGGCGGCGUGCUUAACACAUGCAAGUCGAACGGAAAGGCCCUGCUUUUGUGGGGUGCUCGCGUGGCGAACGGGUGAGUAACACGUGAGUAACCUGCCCUUGACUUUGGGAUAACUUCAGGAAACUGGGGCUAAUACCGGAUAGGAGCUCCUGCUGCAUGGUGGGGGUUGGAAAGUUUCGGCGGUUGGGGAUGGACUCGCGGCUUAUCAGCUUGUUGGUGGGGUAGUGGCUUACCAAGGCUUUGACGGGUAGCCGGCCUGAGAGGGUGACCGGCCACAUUGGGACUGAGAUACGGCCCAGACUCCUACGGGAGGCAGCAGUGGGGAAUAUUGCACAAUGGGCGGAAGCCUGAUGCAACGCCGCGUGCGGGAUGACGGCCUUCGGGUUGUAAACCGCUUUCGCCUGUGACGAAGCGUGAGUGACGGUAAUGGGUAAAGAAGCACCGGCUAACUACGUG
rnacentral:rRNA from 1 species